AUUAUUCAAAGGUUUGCAAAUAAUAGAAACAGAGUUGGAUGAUACGCUUAAACAAUAAAACGCACCUCUUUCGUCAAGCUCGACAACAUGAGGAAC